rnacentral:rRNA from 1 species
UAUGUGAUCGUCUCUCGCAUAUCAAUAAGCGGAGGAAAAGAAACUAACAAGGAUUCCCCUAGUAACGGCGAGUGAAGCGGGAAGAGCUCAAAUUUGAAAUCUUAAAGGGUUUCCCUUUACGAAUUGUAGUUUAAAGAAGUGUUUUCUGUUGAGGUUUUGGUAAAAGUUCUUUGGAAUAGGACAUCAUAGAGGGUGAGAAUCCCGUAUUUGACCUUUACUUUCAACUUUGUGAUACACUUUCAAAGAGUCGGAUUGUUUGGGAAUGCAGUCCAAAAUGGGUGGUAAAUUUCAUCUAAAGCUAAAUAUUGGCGAGAGACCGAUAGCGAACAAGUACCGUGAGGGAAAGAUGAAAAGAACUUUGAAAAGAGAGUUAAACAGUACGUGAAAUUGUCAAAAGGGAAGCGUUUGACACCAGUGUUGUUUUUCUGAAAAUCAAUUAAAGAACUGUUUAUGCUAAGUUGUUUAGACUUUAUCAGCUAAUCUGCUUAGUUUUGAGCUUUUCUUUAAUGCACUUUUCAGUUAACAAGUCAACAUCAAUUUCUUUUGCUGUAAAAAAGCUUGAGGAAGGUGGCUUGAGAUUCGUCUUAAGUGUUUAUAGCCUCUUGCCUAUGCAGUCGGAGAGAUUGAGGUCUGCAGCGUAGAUCCUUCGGGGCUAAAUGCAUUUGUGCUAAGUUAUAGCAUUUUAUAGACAACUUGUUGACUAUGAUUUGUCUUGUAGCUUACUCGCUUAUGUUAUUUUACCUACGCUUAGGAUGUUGAACGCGCACAGAGUCUC